AACGCGGUCUAGUUAUAAGCACUUUAUACUGUGAAACUGCGAAUGGCUCAUUAAAUCAGUUAUCGUUUAUUUGAUAGUACCUUACUACAUGGAUACCUGUGGUAAUUCUAGAGCUAAUACAUGCUAAAAACCUCGACUUCGGAAGGGGUGUAUUUAUUAGAUAAAAAACCAACGCCCUUCGGGGCUCCUUGGUGAAUCAUAAUAACUAAGCGAAUCGCAUGGCCUUGCGCCGGCGAUGGUUCAUUCAAAUUUCUGCCCUAUCAACUUUCGAUGGUAGGAUAGUGGCCUACCAUGGUGGCAACGGGUAACGGGGAAUUAGGGUUCGAUUCCGGAGAGGGAGCCUGAGAAACGGCUACCACAUCCAAGGAAGGCAGCAGGCGCGCAAAUUACCCAAUCCCGACACGGGGAGGUAGUGACAAUAAAUACUGAUACGGGGCUCUUUUGGGUCUCGUAAUUGGAAUGAGUACAAUCUAAAUCCCUUAACGAGGAACAAUUGGAGGGCAAGUCUGGUGCCAGCAGCCGCGGUAAUUCCAGCUCCAAUAGCGUAUAUUAAAGUUGUUGCAGUUAAAAAGCUCGUAGUUGAACCUUGGGUCUGGCUGGCCGGUCCGCCUCACCGCGAGUACUGGUCCGGCUGGACCUUUCCUUCUGGGGAACCUCAUGGCCUUCACUGGCUGUGGGGGGAACCAGGACUUUUACUGUGAAAAAAUUAGAGUGUUCAAAGCAGGCCUUUGCUCGAAUACAUUAGCAUGGAAUAAUAGAAUAGGACGUGCGGUUCUAUUCUGUUGGUGUCUAGGACCGCCGUAAUGAUUAUUAGGGAUAGUCGGGGGCGUCAGUAUUCAGCUGUCAGACGUGAAAUUCAUGGAUUUGCUGAAGACUAACUACUGCGAAAGCAUUCGCCGAGGGAUGUUUUUUUUAUUCAGGGAACGACACUUAGGCGAUCGAGGACGAUCAGAUACCGUCGUAGUCUUAAUCAUCAACGAUGGCAACUAGGGAUGAGGCAGUAUUAGAGAAUGACCACUGAGCCACCUCCCCCAUACUCAAUAUUAAAUGAAUAUUGUGGGGAAUUAGGGGGGAGGUGGCACAAUGAGAAUAGAAAUAGAAAAAAAAAAAGAAAAAAAGAGAA
rnacentral:rRNA from 1 species